AUGGGGCGGGCUGCUCCCCGUUCCGGGGUGUCCUCACCUCCGCAUCGAACAGCACCGCCAGGACCACGUAGCACGCGCUGCUCCCCAGUCGCACGGGGCCGCUUUGCUCCGCGCUGCCCCCGGCGCUGCCCCCGGCUCCGUCCCGCACUUCCCACGCUCUCCCGCUCAGCACCGCGUCCAUCUCCUCCGCGGCCUCGGCCAUGGCAGCGCCGCUCACGGGGUCGCGGGGUUUUGGGGCGGCGUCGGGGGGACCCUGCAGGCGUGGAGGCGGCCGCGGGGUGCAAUGGGGAUGGGGCGCAGGGUGCGGGAGGGCAGGGUGCGGGGCGCCGGGUGCAAGAGGGGCGGGCUGCAGGGUGCAGCUGGAGCGCCGGGCGCUGCGGGGGAAUCGUUGAGCGAUUGCACGGUGCAUUGAGGGAGCGGCUGGGCUUUGCGGGAGGCAGCAAGAGAAGGGCUCAAGGCACCGCGGGGUGCAGAAGGGGAGGGCUCCGGGGGGCGGUGCGGGGCAUGGUGCGGGGUGCGGGGUCCCAGCGCUGCUCGCACGACGCCCGCGGCCCCCGCUCCCCCGCGCGCAUGCGCCCCCGACUCACCGCGGCCCGGCUCCUCCACGCCCCGCCCCGCCCGCCUCCUAUUGGCUGCCUCGCCGCGCCGGCUCGCUUCCUAUUGGUUCUCUCCGCCGCCACUCUGCGGCGCGGCUGAGGGGCGGGGCUUGUUCUUAAAGGGACAGAGGAGGGAGAGCGGCGCGCGUUGCGCCGUUCUAAUUAAACAGCGCCCGGGGCGUGGCUGUAAUUGCGCGGUGCCCGCUGCACGGUGCUCGCUGCGCGGCUCUAAUUUCACUGUGGCCCGAGCAGGGUUGUUGUAACCGCACGGUGUCCGCUGUGCGCGGGGCAGGACCCCUCUCCCCUGUGAUGCAACGCACGGCAUGCGUGCAGGGGGCAGCGCCGUGCACGGUGCAGAGUGGUGCACGGUGCAGUGCAGAGUGAUGCACACAGCCCGGUGCAGUGCAGAUUGCAGGGUGUUGCACAGUGCACGGUGCAGUGCAUAUUGCACAGAGGUGCACAGUGCCCGGUGUAGUGCACACUGCAGAGUGGUGCACAGUGCACGGUGCAGUGCAUAGUGCAGAGUGGUGCACGGUGCACCGUGCAGUUCAUAUUGCAGGGUGAUGCGGUGAUGCACGC
rnacentral:lncRNA from 1 species